UAUGACUGAUGAUUCUAUUCUAUGACUUAUGAUUCUAUUCUAUGACUUAUGAUUCUAUUCUAUGACUUAUGACUGAUGAUUCUAUUCUGACUUAUGACUGAUGACUGAUGAUUCUAUGACUUAUGACUGAUGAUUCUAUUCUAUGACUGAUGAUUCUAUUCUAUGACUUAUGAUUCUAUUGUAUUCUGUGACUUAUGAUUCUAUUCUAUGACUGAUGAUUCUAUUCUGACAGAUGAUUCUAUUCUAUGAUUUAGGAUUCUAUUCUGUGACUUAUUACUGAUGAUUCUAUUCUAUGACUGAUGAUUCUAUUGUAUUCUGUGACUUAUGAUUAUAUUCUAUGACUGAUGAUUCUAAUCUGACAGAUGAUUCUAUUCUAUGACGUAUGAUUCUAUUAUAUGACUUAUUAUUCUAUUCUAUGACUGAUGAUUCUAUUCUAUUCUAUGAUUGAUGAUUCUAUUCUAUGACUUAGGAUUCUAUUCUGUGACUUAUUACUGAUGAUUCUAUUCUAUGACUGAUGAUUCUAUUCUGACUGAUGAUUCUAUUCUAUGACUUAUGACUGAUGAUUCUAUUCUAUGACUUAUGACUGAUGAUUCUAUUCUAUGACUGAUGAUUCUAUUCUAUGACUAAUGAUUCUAUUCUAUGACUGAUGAUUCUAUUUUAUUCUAUGACUGAUGAUUCUAUUCUAUGACUGAUGAUUCUAUUCUAUGACUAAUGAUUCUAUUCUAUGACUGAUGAUUCUAUUUUAUUCUAUGACUGAUGAUUCUAUUCUAUUCUAUGACUCAUAUUGUGAAUCAUAUUAGGAGUUUGUAAAACUAUUGUUGACUCAAGUAAACAGUAUUAUAAACAGAUCAACUAAAGCCCCAUCAUGUGAGAAUUGGUAUUUUUUGCUACAGAGCUCCCCCUAAAGUUGCGGAGCGUAGUUCACUUUACACCACUGUUGUCAUAAAUACAAAUGUGCUUUGAGACCCUGAAUGGACAGUGGACAGUGGACAUGAGUAUUUGCUUUGAGACCCUUAAUGGACAGUGGACAGUGGACAUGAGUAUUUGUUGACAAGCUGAAGGACAGAAGCAUGUGGCCUGACAAGGUAGAGUACUAUCAUAAGACUUUACACAAAUAUAACUCCGCACAGUUUUAUUGGUGGGGACAUUGGAGAUGAACACUAACAUAGCCAAAACAAAAUUACAUUUUUAUUUUUGCUGAAAUACUGCUCACGUUUUCAGCCUAUAUACAUUGUUUUCUAAACAUUUGAAUGUGGAGGAUGUGGAGUGUAAUCAAAUGUUGGAUUAAGGAAUAUUUGGUGUAAAGUGGAAGAAGACCAGAGCAGUCCUCUCACUUUAUUAGACAUUCAGGAUGAUCUUUUCCUUUCAACUCCAUAAAUACUGACAGACUACAGAGGAACUGUGUGGAAUUAUUGUAUGAAUUGCAUUAAAAACAAUCAGCUUUUCAUGUUCAGCCUUACGUGUGCAGAACCAUUGAGACAUUAAGGCCUGGCCACAUCAGUCAGUCAGUCAGCUACACGUGUCAACAUACAUGAUGUCAGUCAGUCAGUCAUCUACACGUUCAGUCAUCUUCACGUGUCAACAUACAUGAUAGCAGUCAGUCAGUCAGUCAGUCAUCUACACGUGUCAACAUAUACAUGAUUGAUUGAUUGAUUGAUUGAUUGAUUGAUGAUACAUGACGUGUCAACAUACAUGAUAGCAGUCAGUCAGUCAGUCAUCUACACGUGUCAACAUACAUGAUAGCAGUCAGUCAGUCAGUCAGUCAGUCAUCUACACGUGUCAACAUAUACAUGAUUGAUUGAUUGAUUGAUUGAUUGAUGAUACAUGACGUGUCAACAUACAUGAUAGCAGUCAGUCAGUCAGUCAUCUACACGUGUCAACAUACAUGAUAGCAGUCAGUCAGUCAGUCAUCUACACGUGUCAACAUACAUGAUAGCAGUCAGUCAGUCAGUCAGUUACACGUGUCAACAUACAUGAUAGCAGUCAGUCAGUCAUCUUCACGUGUCAACAUACAUGAUAGCAGUCAGUUAGUCAGUCAGUCAGUCAUCAACACGUGUCAACAUACAUGAUGUCAGUUAGUCAUCUCCACGUGUCAACAUACAUGAUAGCAGUCAGUUAGUCAGUCAGUCAGUCAUCUACACGUGUCAACAUACAUGAUGUCAGUUAGUCAUCUUCACGUGUCAACAUACAUGAUAGCAGUCAGUUAGUCAGUCAGUCAGUCAUCUACACGUGUCAACAUACAUGAUGUCAGUCAGUCAGUCAGUCAGUCAGUCAUCUUCACGUGUCAACAUACAUGAUAGCAGUCAGUCAGUUACACGUGUCAACAUACAUGAUAGCAGUCAGUCAGUUACACGUGUCAACAUACAUGAUAGCAGUCAGUCAGUCAUCUACACGUGUCAACAUACAUGAUUGAUUGAUUGAUUGAUUGAUUGAUGAUACAUGACGUGUCAACAUACAUGAUAGCAGUCAGUCGGGGGCGGGGCUGGAGUUAACUCAUUCAUGCUCAGACAGGAUGAGAAUGAACACCUGCAUCAUCAUCAUCUUCAUCACAUCAUCUUCAUCCCAUCAUCUUCAUCGCAUAGAAAAUGGACACUGUGCCUCCACUCAGUCAGGCUGGCAGAGUCUCUCUGGGAGUUCAGCAUUUAGUUCUGCUUGAGGUUCCCAUCAGUUUCUGUUUUCCUGAGGAACCAAAGUGUUCUAGAAUGUUCCUGCUUUAGGUUCACAUCAGUCUCACAGUGCAA
ensembl:lncRNA